rnacentral:rRNA from 1 species
AUUGAACGCUGGCGGCAGGCCUAACACAUGCAAGUCGAACGAGUGGCGGACGGGUGAGUAAUGUCUGGGAAACUGCCUGAUGGAGGGGGAUAACUACUGGAAACGGUAGCUAAUACCGCAUACCAUCGGAUGAGCCCAGAUGGGAUUAGCUAGUAGGGGGGGUAAAGGCUCACCAAGGCGACGAUCCCUAGCGGGUCUGAGAGCAGGACCAGUCACACUGGAACUGAGACACGGUCCAGACGCCUACGGGAGGCAGCAGUGGGGAAUAGUGCACAAUGGGCGCAAGCCUGAUGCAGCCAGUACGCGGGUAUGAAGAAGGCCUUCGGGUUGUAAAGUACUUUCAGCGGGGAGGCGUUACCCGCAGAAGAAGCACCGGCUAACUCCGUGCCAGCAGCCGCGGUAAUUC